UGGGGAAUCUUGCGCAAUGGGCGAAAGCCUGACGCAGCAACGCCGCGUGAGCGAAGAAGGCCUUCGGGUUGUAAAGCUCUGUCAGGGGGAAAGAAGGCACCUGGGUUAAUAGCCCAAGGGCUGACGGUACCUCCAAAGGAAGCCACGGCUAACUACGUGCCAGCAGCCGCGGUAAUACGUAGGUGGCGAGCGUUGUCCGGAAUCAUUGGGCGUAAAGAGCGCGUAGGUGGUUUGUCAGGUCUGAUGUGAAAACCUGGGGCUCAACUCCAGGCCUGCAUCGGAAACCGGCUUGCUAGAGUCUGGGAGAGGAGAGUGGAAUUCCUGGUGUAGCGGUGAAAUGCGUAGAUAUCAGGAGGAACACCGGUAGCGAAGGCGGCUCUCUGGAACAGUACUGACACUGAGGCGCGAAAGCUAGGGGAGCAAACA
rnacentral:rRNA from 1 species